rnacentral:ncRNA from 2 species
UCAAGAAUGUGCGAAUCAGGUGCCAUAAAUGACGGUCUGUCAUGAUGGAUAAACGGGAACCAGGUGCGUGACAUCGUGUCGCCAGGCCUGGGCUGCCCCCCGCAACGGUAAGCGUUAAACGGUGCAUCACCACGUCACUGGGCUCGGUUCGCCCGGGAAGACGAUGCAUUCGGCGCGAGCCCGGAUACCGGCCUGAACCCCGUGCGGCAU